rnacentral:ncRNA from 1 species
GAUAGGCCCCUGUCGCUACUGUGAUUGGACACUGACACAGAGUCAACUAGCCUGGUUCGCGCGGUUCUUGGCGCGCGGGAACCGGGGCGGUCCGAGCCACGAGGGGGGAGGCUCGGACCGUCCGUC